GAUGAACGCUGGCGGCGUGCCUAAUACAUGCAAGUCGAGCGAACGGACGAGAAGCUUGCUUCUCUGAUGUUAGCGGCGGACGGGUGAGUAACACGUGGAUAACCUACCUAUAAGACUGGGAUAACUUCGGGAAACCGGAGCUAAUACCGGAUGAUAUUUUGAACCGCAUGGUUCAAAAGUGAAAGACGGUCUUGCUGUCACUUAUAGAUGGAUCCGCGCUGCAUUAGCUAGUUGGUAAGGUAACGGCUUACCAAGGCAACGAUGCAUAGCCGACCUGAAAGGGUGAUCGGCCACACUGGAACUGAGACACGGUCCAGACUCCUACGGGAGGCAGCAGUAGGGAAUCUUCCGCAAUGGGCGAAAGCCUGACGGAGCAACCCCGCGUGAGUGAUGAAGGUCUUCGGAUCGUAAAACUCUGUUAUUAGGGAAGAACAUAUGUGUAAGUAACUGUGCACAUCUUGACGGUACCUAAUCAGAAAGCCACGGCUAACUACGUG
rnacentral:rRNA from 1 species